GACGAACGCUGGCGGCGUGCCUAACACAUGCAGGUCGAGCGGAGUCAGUAAGAGGAAGUUUUCGGAUGGAAUCUUAUUGAUUUAGCGGCGGACGGGUGAGUAACGCGUGAGCGACCAACCUUGCACAGGGGGAUAACGGACCGAAAGGUUCACUAAUACCGCAUGAGACCACGGUGUUGCAUGACACAGGUGUCAAAGGAGGAAUCCGGUGCAAGACGGGCUCGCGUCCGAUUAGGUAGUUGGAGGGGUAACGGCCCACCAAGCCUAUGAUCGGUAGCCGACCUGAGAGGGUGAUCGGCCACAUUGGAACUGAGAUACGGUCCAAACUCCUACGGGAGGCAGCAGUGGGGAAUAUUGGGCAAUGGGGGAAACCCUGACCCAGCAACGCCGCGUGAAGGAAGAAGGUUUUCGGAUUGUAAACUUCUGUCCUUGGUGAAGAGAAGAAGACGGUAGCCAAGGAGGAAGCCCCGGCUAACUACGUGCCAGCAGCCGCCGUAA
rnacentral:rRNA from 1 species